UACGUAGGGUGCGAGCGUUGUCCGGAAUUAUUGGGCGUAAAGAGCUUGUAGGCGGUUUGUCGCGUCUGCCGUGAAAAUCCGGGGCUCAACCCCGGACUUGCGGUGGGUACGGGCAGACUAGAGUGUGGUAGGGGAGACUGGAAUUCCUGGUGUAGCGGUGAAAUGCGCAGAUAUCAGGAGGAACACCUAUGGCGAAGGCAGCUCUCUGGUACGUGACUGACGCUGAGACGCGAAAGCGUGGGGAGCAAACAGG
rnacentral:rRNA from 1 species